rnacentral:rRNA from 1 species
AAGUCAGCCACGAAUAGGCUAUCCCAACUAACGGCGGGAAAGACUCCACGGAGGGUGUAAGACCCGUGUGGGCGCGUGUUAAAGCUGUGCGGGCUCGGCCUCUAUUCCCUGAGAGUCGCGUUGCUUGAGCAUGCAGCGCUAAGCAGGUCGUAAACUCGAUCUAAGGCUAAAUAUCUCCACAGAACCGAUAGCGAACAAGUACCGUGAGGGAAAGUUGAAAAGCACUCUGGAGAGAGAGUCAAAAGACCGUGAAACCGCUCAGAGUAUAAGCCCAUGGCAGCUUGGAAGGCAUAUCGCUAGCGGGGCAUCGGUCUUCCUUCGCGGGGAGCUGGUGUUACCUUGCUUUUGUUGUGGCUCGUCAUGGUAGGGGGGUCAAGUCCACAUCCCGCCGACGUGUGGGGGGUUCUUGGGUGUGUUGUGGUUUUUCGGUUGGUUUCGGCCGGCCGGAGGACUCUUCGUGCUCGGUUCCUCUUUGCACACGGACGUUCAGACUCAGAGGCAAGACGCGAUAAACAGCCCACCACGGCACGUUGUGAGGUCACCCACAGGCUCGACUUUCGAUCGCGAACCUUGACGCCGAGCAAGCACAAUGCGUGUCGCUUAUGUUCCUAACCAGGCAACGCUGCCAGGACCGUGGAACGACACGCGCUCAACAGUCAGGUUCGGGCGGAGACAGAGUUCUGGUACGAUCCUCUUGCGACGAGCCGGCUUCUGGCCGACAUCCGAUGCUCAGGUCUCCCGCAUGUGCCGCGGGAGAUCGCCUUGACGGUCUGGAUCUUUCACGAGUCCUCUCAGUCGGGCAACGGAUAGAGUGGUGUAAAGUCCAAGCCCAUCGGUCACGUCUCGAAACACGGGCCAAGGAGUAUAGCAUGUGUGCAAGUCUAAGAGUCUCACAAAACUCGAAGGCGAAGUGAAAGCAAGUAAGCGGCGGGUGAUCUACGGAGAGAUCCCGUCAGCUAGAGGGGCUCUCGGGCCUCU